CAUAAUAUCAGGUUUUGUUGCUUCGCUGAAAAGGAAAGGACAGUAAAAAAAACCUUAAAGGUAGCCAGGAAAGAUUUUUGUAUUUUUUUUUAAAUGAAGAAGAGUUAAGAUAAGAGUUUGAAGACUUCUAUGACCUGAAAAAAAGCACAAAGCUUCUAAAUGUCUGACAGAUUAACUAGAAAGCACAAAUUAACUAGACACAGCAAACACCUGACAAAACAGUUGGUGGUGUUUAUUCAUCCAAAUAAUCUGUGAGAAAACAACAUAUUAUAACCUUGUGGGGUUAGAGGGGAGGGACUAAUUAUGACAACAUUAACUAACAUGUAAGGUUUUUAGAAAGAGGUAUGAAGCUUUUUUGACCAUUCAUUUGCACCCAGAGAAUAGCAGAGCAUUAAACAAAUCAUUUUACUCCUGAUCCUAUUUAGACAAGCAAGCUGGACUCCCAUUUUGUCCAUACAAAUGGAAGUUUAGCAGUGACAUCCCCUGAGGUGGGUUAGUAGCAGCAGCUGCAGAUGGAGGAAUGGAUUUAAUGACUCGUGGCAGGUGGAUGGUUAAGGUGUAUUGCUCCUUUACCUGAGGUUGGAAGGCACGUCAGCAGCAGGAUAACUGGAAGAAUCUUCAGGAACUUCCAUCUCCACCACCUACUACUGAGGAACGAAACCCUGCAAAACAAAUUGAGCUAAUUACAUUUUGA